CCUGAACCCCUGUUAGAGCCUACACCCCCAGAACCCCUGUUAGAGCCUACACCACCAGAACCCCUGUUAGAGCCUGAACCCCUGUUAGAGCCUGAACCCCUGUUAGAGCCUACACCACCAGAACCCCUGUUAGAGUCUACACCACCAGAACCCCUGUUAGAGCCUGAACCCCUGUUAGAGCCUGAACCCCUGUUAGAGCCUGAACCCCUGUUAGAGCCUACACCACCAGAACCCCUGUUAGAGCCUACACCCCCAGAACCCCUGUUAGAGCCUCAACCCCGGUUAGAGCCGACACUAGAGCCCGCAAUAGAGCAUCGCUCAGAGUCCUCAUCAGAGCCUCAGUCAGAGCAGGUGUCCGAGGGGGAUCUGCCACUAGAGGGCAGUGCCAGACAGGGUGACAGAGAAGGUGAGAGACAGGGUGACAGACAGGGUCACAGAGAAGGUGAGAGACAGGGUGCCAGACAUGGUGACAGAGAAGGUGACAGACAGGGUGACAGACAGGGUGUCGGACAGGGUGGCAGAGAAGGUGAGAGACAGGGUGACAGACAGGGUGACAGAGAAGGCGAGAGACAGGGUGCCAGACAGGGUAAGCCCAUAGAGGCUGGUGACUCUGGCCUCAGAGCUGAGACUAAGGAGGGUGUGUUAGGGUCAGAGGUAACAGAAGGGAUAGUGUCUGUACCUGCAGACCUCCAGAAAUACCACCAGAUUGACCGCCAGUCAGACAGUGAGCACCCUCCAGAGACCAGGGAUGGGACUACCCCCAUGGACGGAGACUUCCCGCCCCCAGAAACAGGUUCCAACUCUGGGGGAGCGUCUGGUGGAGCAGGUGGAGAGAUGGAGGGUGGAGAGGAGGGUGGAGAGGGUGUAGCGAUGGAGAUAACAGAGGUCCUACGGAGACGGAGUGAGGCCCCCUUGGUUCUAGGGGAACACAGCGGAGACCACUCUGACAGGACAGUGGAUCAGGGAUCCUGUGGCACCAGGACAGAGGAGGGGUCAGAACACUCAGACAGUCAACCUGCUACAGACCAAGCCCUCCACCUCGACCCCUCUGUAACCCUCGACCCCUCUGUAACCCUAACCCUGACCCUCGACCCCUCUGUGACGUGGUCAGACUGUGGAGAUGGAGAUGAUGUCACUGCUGUAGUGGUGUCCACAUAUACAGGGGAUGUCCCACCUAACAGUCCAGCGUCACCUGAGAACCUACCUGAAAACCUACUUGAGAACGCACCUGAGAACCUACCUGGGAUCCAACCUGGGAUCCUACCUGGGAACCUACCUGAGAACGUACCUGGGAUCCUGCCUGGGAUCCUGCCUGGGAACCCGCCUGAGAUCCCGCCUGGGAACCCACCUGAGAACCUACCUGGGAACCUACCUGGGAACCUGCCUGGGAUCCUACCUGGGAACCUACCUGAGAUACUACCUGAGAACCUAACAGAUGCUGUCUGUUCUGCAAGUCACCUUACUGUCCCUGUUGAAGACCUGGAUGUUCCAGCAGCAGAGGAAACGGCAGAUUGUCAGGAAGACCAAUCAACAGAGAAUAUAUCUACGAUCCACAAAGAGGAGGAGGCUGUCUAUCCUGAACCCUGUUGUAUUCCCGACACACAGACACGCAGCAGCACUGACCACAGACACAGCAACAACCAAACAGACUGUCAGAGUGUGAGCAGUUUCAGCUCUACUCUCCUGAAAGACUCAGACAGCGACACCGAGAGCUUCUUCAGCACAGGAGAGGACAGUGUUUUCAGCAAGGGGGACGAUACGAUGAUGGGGGACAGCACCAGUGAGGUGUCUGUAUCCUGUUCCUCCACAGACGACACGGCCAGUGUGGGUCCGACCAGCUCCAGCCCAGAGAGCUGUGUGGAGGGGGGCCCAGGGGACCAGGGGGACA
rnacentral:lncRNA from 1 species